UACGUAGGGGGCAAGCGUUGUCCGGAAUCAUUGGGCGUAAAGAGCGUGUAGGCGGCCCGGUAAGUCCGCUGUGAAAGUCCAGGGCUCAACCCUGGGAUGCCGGUGGAUACUGUCGGGCUCGAGUCCGGAAGAGGAGUGUGGAAUUCCUGGUGUAGCGGUGAAAUGCGUAGAUAUCUGGAGGAACACCGGUGGCGAAGGCGGCAUCCUGGACCGGCAUUGACGCUGAUGAGCGAAAGCCAGGGGAGCAAACGGG
rnacentral:rRNA from 1 species